rnacentral:lncRNA from 1 species
GAAAAGAAACAAGAAAAAGAAAUCACCUUUGAAACUAUAGAGCAUAGAAAAAGAAAAAACAAAGAAAAAGUUCAUGGUUGUGUGGAUGUGAAAAAGAAGAAAAGAAGAAAUAUGGGGAUCAAAGAAACGGAAACUGUUGUUGAGUUGAAUGUAUGGGAAUGCUCCCUUAGGAUAAGCAUUUUUGUUGAAUUCUCUUAAUCAUAUCCUUUCUUGUA